rnacentral:rRNA from 1 species
GAUGGUUCAUUCAAAUUUCUGCCCUAUCAACUUUCGAUGGUAGGAUAGUGGCCUACCAUGGUUUUAACGGGUAACGGGGAAUUAGGGUUCUAUUCCGGAGAGGGAGCCUGAGAAACGGCUACCACAUCCAAGGAAGGCAGCAGGCGCGCAAAUUACCCAAUCCCAACACGGGGAGGUAGUGACAAUAAAUACUGAUACAGGGCUCUUUUGGGUCUUGUAAUUGGAAUGAGUACAAUUUAAAUCCCUUAACGAGGAACAAUUGGAGGGCAAGUCUGGUGCCAGCAGCCGCGGUAAUUCCAGCUCCAAUAGCGUAUAUUAAAGUUGUUGCAGUUAAAAAGCUCGUAGUUGAACCUUGGGCCUGGCUGGCCGGUCCGCCUCACCGCGUGCACUGGUCCGGCCGGGCCUUUCCUUCUGGGGAGCCGCAUGCCCUUCACUGGGUGUGUCGGGGGAACCAGGACUUUUACUUUGAAAAAAUUAGAGUGUUCAAAGCAGGCCUAUGCUCGAAUACAUUAGCAUGGAAUAAUAGAA